rnacentral:lncRNA from 11 species
GCAGUACCUUUUGAUCUACUCACAUUGGUAUGUUUUCAAACUGCUAGGUUGGCAGAAGCUGUGGCUAACAGCGAGCACUCAUUCCGCUCCCGGGAUUUGAACCUGGAACCUUUCAGUCUGCAAGUUCAGCAGCUCAGCGCUUUAACACACUUUGCCAAUGGGCCUCCUAAGUGAGACUCUACUGUAUCUAGGUUGGCAGAAGCUGGAGCAACAGCAGGCGCUCAAUCCGUUCCCGGGAUUUGAACCUGGGACCUUUCGGUCUGCAAGUUCAGCAGCUCAAGAUUUGGGACCCAAAUCUUGAAAACGGGGGGGAUAAACAUCUUAAGAGACUUGUUGCAAAAUCUAGACGUGAAGAAGGAGUUAAUUUUUAAAAUGAAAAAGACCUCCUUCUCGUGUUCACGGCAGGGUUAAAUUUCAUUCCAGGAAAAGCGAAGAGGAGGGGAGAAAAAGCACCCAGAAGAGGAGGAGGUUUUUCUUCUUUCCGAUGGAAAGCUCUCCAUGUUCUCAGCUUUGGGUGAGCGAGCAGGGGGUUAAAUGUAAUACACAGCGGACAUGUAGCAGUUAAUGGAGCGAGACCGAGCAGGCCUCCGUUUGUAUUGGUUCUUUGUAUGCAGCAGUGAUCUAGGGAAGCCUCUCUCCUGCCAGACACACAUGUACACAAGCAUUUCCUUCCCCGGAGGGAUUUAUAGUCGAGCGAAAAGAGAGCGAAAAGAGCAGAAGGGCGGCACAUUUCUUCCCUUUGUCUCCCAAAGCGGUCUUCGCUGUCAGGCGGCACGCUUUGUGUGGCACGGUGCCACCCUGACCCCGCCACCUGCUCCCGGUUAGACCACGAACGCAUGAUAUUUGGGAUUUUCAUGCGAAAACGGGGAAUGGAUACCUCUCGCGGUUUUUUUUCGCGUUGGCGCCACGGGCCUUUCCCUCGUGCGAAAGCGUUUGCACGUGGCGCAUCCGGAGCCUGUGCCGUUCGGGUUCCUGUUUCCGACCCGGAGACAUAUUGCGGAUGCACCGGAGGGGCCUUCCGUGGCGAGGCGAGGCGGAGGCAUUUUCCAUGUGGCGGUGGGCGCACUAAGAGAACGAACCGAGUUGCUGAAAAGUGCCUUUCUUGAAGCUCUCGCGACCGCCGCUGCCGCUUGGAUUUCUGUCUAAGGCUUUGCCUCGCUCACUUUUAAUAUAUAUACAUAUAUAUAUAUAUAUAAACACACACAGAUACACACACACAAACACAUAUACCCCUCUUUCCUUUCUUUUUUUCUUUCUUUUUUUUGGUAAAGAAAAAGUUCAGCACUGCGAUUCGUCACCUGAAGGCAACUCAUCCAUCUUUUUCUCACUUCUGUUUUUCGUGCAAAUUUGUUCGGCUGUCCAACUAUGUAGCAAACUCGACUCUCGAAAAGAGAAAUCAAUCAGGAUAGGCAACGCGAAAGGAAGUUGUCACGUCUCUUUCGUUGGUUUUAACACUUUGCAACUUCAUCAGGAUUUUAAUUUUUUAAAAACAAAGAAGAAGAAAAAGGAAGAGGAGAGAAUUGUCUUCAAAAAUAUUUUUCUGCGCUGAAAAACUGAAACCAUACCAUUCGAUUGACCUCCUUGACAACUACCAUUUUUUUUCCUUUUCCCGUUUCUUUUCCUUUCCUUUUUUUGAGGGAGAAUAAUUGAAAUCCAAGAACUGGAGAGCACAGGAUCCUUUUUUGGGGAGAAGGGAGGAUUUCUUUUUAAAAAUCUGCCUGUUAUUUUGAAACAAUAAUUUUGGCAGUGGCACAAAAAUAUUAUAUAUCUAUCUAUCUAUAUAUAUAGACAUACACAUAUAUAAAUAUAUAACAUUUCUAUUUUGACUUUGGCAAUUGCACUUUUAGGAGCUGGCCUCUAAUUUGAUUUUUCUUUAAUUCUGAUGAGAUUUCUAUUUUACGAUUGGCUUUACGUUUGAUCCUUGUUUUCAACA